rnacentral:rRNA from 1 species
GACAGAGGGUGCAAACGUUGCUCGGAAUCACUGGGCGUAAAGGGCGCGUAGGCGGACAAGUAAGUCGGGCGUGAAAUCCCUAGGCUCAACCUAGGAACUGCACUCGAAACUGCAUGUCUUGAGUACCGGAGAGGAAAGCGGAAUACCUGGUGUAGAGGUGAAAUUCGUAGAUAUCAGGUGGAACACCAGUGGCGAAGGCGGCUUUUUGGACGGUAACUGACGCUGAGGCGCGAAAGCGUGGGGAGCAAACAGG